rnacentral:hammerhead_ribozyme from 1 species
AUCUAGCUGACGAGUCUCAAAUAGGACGAAACGCAUGUCUCGGAU